UGCCCGGAGCAGGGGGAUAAGCGGAAGAAAUUCCGUCUAAUACCGCGUAAUGAGGCGGGGAGGCAUCUCCCCGCUUCCAAAGAUUUAUCGGCUCCGGAUGGUCAUGCGGCGCAUUAGCUGGUUGGCGGGGUAACGGCCCACCAAGGCGACGAUGCGUAGGGGUUCUGAGAGGAAGGCCCCCCAUACUGGUACUGAGACACGGACCAGACUCCUACGGGAGGCAGCAGUGAGGAAUAUUGGUCAAUGGCCGGGAGGCUGAACCAGCCAAGUCGCGUGAGGGAUGACGGCCCUACGGGUUGUAAACCUCUUUUGCCGGGGAGCAAGAACCGCCUCGCGCAGGCGGACUGAGAGUACCCGGAGAAAAAGCAUCGGCUAACUCCGUGCCAGCAGCCGCGGUAAUACGGAGGAUGCGAGCGUUAUCCGGAUUCAUUGGGUUUAAAGGGUGCGCAGGCGGGCGGUCAAGUCAGCGGUAAAAUCGUGGGGCCCAACCCCAUCCCGCCGUUGAAACUGGCCGUCUUGAGUGGGCGAGAAGUAUGCGGAAUGCGUGGUGUAGCGGUGAAAUGCA
rnacentral:rRNA from 1 species